rnacentral:rRNA from 1 species
UGACGAAGCGACGCCGCGUGUGGGGAGAAGGCCUUCGGGUUGAAAACCACUGUCGGGAGUUAAGAAAUGUAAGGAUGUUAAUAGCGUUCUUACUUGACUAAGGCUCCGGAGGAAGCCACGGCUAACUCUGUGCCAGCAGCCGCGGUAAUACAGAGGCGGCAAGCGUUGUUCGGAAUUAUUGGGCGUAAAGAGCACGUAGGCGGCCUUGCAAGUCAGUUGUGAAAUCCUUCUGCUUAACGGAAGAACUGCAGCUGAUACUACAGGGCUUGAGUGCGGAAGGGGAGAGCGGAACUUCUGGUGGAGCGGUGAAAUGCGUAGAUAUCAGAAGGAACGCCGGCGGCGAAAGCGACUCUCUGGUCCGUAACUGACGCUGAGUGUGCGAAAGCUAGGGGAGCAAACGGGAUUAGGUACCCCGGUAGUCCUAGCCGUAAACGAU